rfam:Triticum aestivum genome assembly, contig: Triticum_aestivum_CS42_TGACv1_scaffold_542951_6DS
GUUGUAGUGGUGAUGACAAAUUUGUGGACUAGAGUUUCUGAUGCCACCUCUUCAGUGGCAUCUGCAGAUGACCUCUUGGCUGUCUGAGCUCCUAG